UGGAGAUGAGGAUACACAGCACUGGGCACUGAGAAUGAACUUUAUUCUUUCGAAUGAGUGACAAUGCUUUAAGCGGGCCUAGAAAACCCGCGCUACUGAUCCA
rnacentral:snoRNA from 1 species